rnacentral:rRNA from 1 species
CAACCUACCUUCUACAGGGGGAUAGCCCAGAGAAAUUUGGAAUAAUACCCCAUACGGUCAUUUAAUGGCAUCAUUAAAUGAAGAAAACUCCGGUGGUAGAAGAUGGGCAUGCGUCCUAUUAGUUAGUUGGUAAGGUAAUGGCUUACCAAGACACCGAUAGGUAGGGGUCCUGAGAGGGAGAUCCCCCACACUGGUACUGAGACACGGACCAGACUCCUACGGGAGGCAGCAGUGAGGAAUAUUGGACAAUGGAGGCAACUCUGAUCCAGCCAUGCCGCGUGCAGGAAGA